AUCCUGGUAGCUUACCUCAAAGCAUUAGACUUGUAAACUAAAAACGGACCACUACUUUCCCCAGGAUC
rnacentral:tRNA from 1 species